rnacentral:rRNA from 1 species
UACGUAGGGGGCUAGCGUUGUCCGGAUUUAUUGGGCGUAAAGAGCGUGUAGGCGGCCAGAUAGGUCCGCUGUGAAAACUCGAGGCUCAACCUCGAGAUGUCGGCGGAAACCAUCUGGCUAGAGUCCGGAAGAGGAGAAUGGAAUUCCUGGUGUAGCGGUGAAAUGCGCAGAUAUCAGGAAGAACACCUAUGGCGAAGGCGGUUCUCUGGGACGGUACUGACGCUGAGGCGCGAAAGCGUGGGGAGCGAACAGG